rnacentral:rRNA from 1 species
AAGUCGAGCGGAGAUGAGGUGCUUGCACCUUAUCUUAGCGGCGGACGGGUGAGUAAUGCUUAGGAAUCUGCCUAUUAGUGGGGGACAACAUUCCGAAAGGAAUGCUAAUACCGCAUACGCCCUACGGGGGAAAGCAGGGGAUCUUCGGACCUUGCGCUAAUAGAUGAGCCUAAGUCGGAUUAGCUAGUUGGUGGGGUAAAGGCCUACCAAGGCGACGAUCUGUAGCGGGUCUGAGAGGAUGAUCCGCCACACUGGGACUGAGACACGGCCCAGACUCCUACGGGAGGCAGCAGUGGGGAAUAUUGGACAAUGGGCGGAAGCCUGAUCCAGCCAUGCCGCGUGUGUGAAGAAGGCCUUUUGGUUGUAAAGCACUUUAAGCGAGGAGGAGGCUACUUAGAUUAAUACUCUAGGAUAGUGGACGUUACUCGCAGAAUAAGCACCGGCUAACUCUGUGCCAGCAGCCGCGGUAAUACAGAGGGUGCGAGCGUUAAUCGGAUUUACUGGGCGUAAAGCGUGCGUAGGCGGCUGAUUAAGUCGGAUGUGAAAUCCCUGAGCUUAACUUAGGAAUUGCAUUCGAUACUGGUCAGCUAGAGUAUGGGAGAGGAUGGUAGAAUUCCAGGUGUAGCGGUGAAAUGCGUAGAGAUCUGGAGGAAUACCGAUGGCGAAGGCAGCCAUCUGGCCUAAUACUGACGCUGAGGUACGAAGCAUGGGGAGCAAACAGGAUUAGAUACCCUGGUAGUCCAUGCCGUAACGAUGUCUACUAGCCGUUGGGGCCUUUGA